GUCUUUGUAGCCCAAUGGAUCGGGCAUUGGACUUUUAAUCCAAAGGUCGUGGGUUCGAAUCCCACCAGGGAUG